rnacentral:misc_RNA from 1 species
GUAGGUGAACCUGCGGAAGGAUCAUUACAAAAUUCGGGGGCCGAAAGGCCCCUAAGGACGGUUGCCCAGCCCCCUCGCCGGUUGCCCGGCGUGGAAGGUCGGGUAUUCCCCCUAAACCCCUUGUGAAAAACCCAAGUUGCUUCGGCAGCUCGUCUCCCCCCGCGUGCACCGGUUCACGCCGGCGCGCCGCGGCGGGGUCUGACGGUCAGCCUGCCGACGGCACCAUGGAAACCCUAAAGUGAAAGGAAGCAAAUAAAACCGUCUGAGCGCGAAGUCGAAUGACUAUAAAACUUUCAACAACGGAUCUCUUGGUUCCC